rnacentral:rRNA from 1 species
UUUUCCCGUACCAGCAUUAACACGACCCUGACGAACCGGGUAAUGCUAAGCGCCUGAAACUUCGGAUUCCUUCGGGAUGAAGAAGCGGAGCGCGCGAACCGAACCAGUAGUAGUCAAGCAAUGGGGUGACGCAGGAAGGUAACCCAACCCAGGCGAUGGUUGACCUGGGGUAAGGAUGUAGGGCGAGAUGUAGGCAAAUCCGCAUCUCACGUGCCUGAGAUCUGACGCCGAGCCGAUUCAGGUGAAGUGGGUAAUCCUAUGCUGCCAAGAAGAGCCUCUAGCGAGUGUUAAAGCCGCCCGUACCCCAAACCGACACAGGUGGUCAGGUAGAGAAUACUAAGGCGAUCGAGAUAACUAUGGUUAAGGAACUCGGCAAAAUGCCCCCGUAACUUCGGGAGAAGGGGGGCCCGUUCUGGUGAGGAGAUUUACUCUCCGAGCUGGGAUUGGCCGCAGAGACCAGGCCCAAGCGACUGUUUACUAAAAACACAGGUCCAUGCUAAGUCGCAAGACGCUGUAUAUGGACUGACGCCUGCCCGGUGCUGGAACGUUAGGGGGACGGGUUAGCGACUUCGGUCGCGAAGCUCAGAACUUAAGCGCCAGUAAACGGCGGUGGUAACUAUAACCAUCCUAAGGUAGCGAAAUUCCUUGUCGGGUAAGUUCCGACCUGCACGAAUGGCGUAACGACUUGGGCGCUGUCUCAACCGUAGACUUGGCGAAAUUGCACUACGAGUAAAGAUGCUCGUUACGCGCGGCAGGACGAAAAGACCCCGGGACCUUUACUACAGCUUGGUAUUGGUGGUCGAUUCGAUUUGUGUAGGAUAGGUGGGAGACUGUGAACUUCGGACGCCAGUUCGAAGGGAGUCAUCGUUGAAAUACCACUCUGAUCGUAUUGGCUGUCUAACCUAGAUCCGUAAUCCGGAUCAGGGACAGUGCCUGGUGGGUAGUUUAACUGGGGCGGUUGCCUCCUAAAAUGUAACGGAGGCGCUCAAAGGUUCCCUCAGCCUGGUUGGCAAUCAGGUAUCGAGUGUAAGUGCACAAGGGAGCUUGACUGUGAGACUGACGGGUCGAGCAGGGACGAAAGUCGGAACUAGUGAUCCGGCGCUGGCAAGUGGAAGCGGCGUCACUCAACGGAUAAAAGGUACCCCGGGGAUAACAGGCUGAUCUUGCCCAAGAGUCCAUAUCGACGGCAUGGUUUGGCACCUCGAUGUCGGCUCGUCGCAUCCUGGGGCUGGAGUAGGUCCCAAGGGUUGGGCUGUUCGCCCAUUAAAGCGGCACGCGAGCUGGGUUUAGAACGUCGUGAGACAGUUCGGUCCCUAUCCGCCGCGCGCGUAAGAGUCUUGAGAAGAUCUGUCCCUAGUACGAGAGGACCGGGAUGGACGAACCUCUGGUGUGUCAGUUGUCCUGCCAAGGGCACUGCUGAUUAGCUACGUUCGGAAGAGAUAACCGCUGAAAGCAUCUAAGCGGGAAACUCGCUUCAAGAUGAGGGCUCUCACAGGGUUAACCUGGUAAGGCCCCCAGUAGACCACUGGGUUGAUAGGCCGGAAGUGGAAGUGCGGUAACGCAUGCAGCUGACCGGUACUAAUAGGCCGAGGACUUGACCUC